AUCCAGCCCCUUAAGUACUACCCCUUUUGCAUUUUUGGCCCCCUAGGCCAAUUUUUAUCAAGUCAAUGCUGACGUGGACGUCAUGUGUGUAAUUUUUUAAUUAAAAAAUAAUAGUUUAUUUUUUUAAUAAUUAAAAAAAAAUUACACAUGUGACGUCCACGUCAGCAUUGACUUGGUGAAAAUUGGUCUGAGGGGCCAAAACUGCAAAAGGGGCGGUACUUAGGGGGCUGAAU
rfam:Medicago truncatula strain A17 chromosome 7, whole genome shotgun sequence.